rnacentral:rRNA from 1 species
UGCAAGUCGAGCGGUAACAGAGAGUAGCUUGCUACUUUGCUGACGAGCGGCGGACGGGUGAGUAAUGCUUGGGAACAUGCCUUGAGGUGGGGGACAACAGUUGGAAACGACUGCUAAUACCGCAUAAUGUCUACGGACCAAAGGGGGCUUCGGCUCUCGCCUUUAGAUUGGCCCAAGUGGGAUUAGCUAGUUGGUGAGGUAAUGGCUCACCAAGGCGACGAUCCCUAGCUGGUUUGAGAGGAUGAUCAGCCACACUGGGACUGAGACACGGCCCAGACUCCUACGGGAGGCAGCAGUGGGGAAUAUUGCACAAUGGGCGCAAGCCUGAUGCAGCCAUGCCGCGUGUGUGAAGAAGGCCUUCGGGUUGUAAAGCACUUUCAGUCAGGAGGAAAGGUUAGUAGUUAAUACCUGCUAGCUGUGACGUUACUGACAGAAGAAGCACCGGCUAACUCCGUGCCAGCAGCCGCGGUAAUACGGAGGGUGCGAGCGUUAAUCGGAAUUACUGGGCGUAAAGCGUACGCAGGCGGUUUGUUAAGCGAGAUGUGAAAGCCCCGGGCUCAACCUGGGAACUGCAUUUCGAACUGGCAAACUAGAGUGUGAUAGAGGGUGGUAGAAUUUCAGGUGUAGCGGUGAAAUGCGUAGAGAUCUGAAGGAAUACCGAUGGCGAAGGCAGCCACCUGGGUCAACACUGACGCUCAUGUACGAAAG